rnacentral:rRNA from 1 species
GACGUAGGGCGCGAGCGUUGUCCGGAUUUAUUGGGCGUAAAGAGCUCGUAGGCGGUCUGUCGCGUCGGCUGUGAAAACUCGGGGCUCAACCCCGAGCCUGCAGCCGAUACGGGCAGACUAGAGUUCGGUAGGGGAGACUGGAAUUCCUGGUGUAGCGGUGAAAUGCGCAGAUAUCAGGAGGAACACCGGUGGCGAAGGCGGGUCUCUGGGCAGUAACUGACGCUGAGGAGCGAAAGCGUGGGGAGCGAACAGG